UACGAAGGGGGCAAGCGUUGCUCGGAAUCACUGGGCGUAAAGCGCACGUAGGCGGAUUUUUAAGUCAGGGGUGAAACCCUGGAGCUCAACUCCAGAACUGCCUUUGAUACUGGGAAUCUCGAGUCCGGAAGAGGUGAGCGGAACUGCGAGUGUAGAGGUGGAAUUCGUAGAUAUUCGCAAGAACACCAGUGGCGAAGGCGGCUCACUGGUCCGGUACUGACGCUGAGGUGCGAAAGCGUGGGGAGCAAACAGG
rnacentral:rRNA from 1 species